GAUGAACGCUGGCGGCGUGCCUAAUACAUGCAAGUCGAGCGAACGGACGAGAAGCUUGCUUCUCUGAUGUUAGCGGCGGACGGGUGAGUAACACGUGGAUAACCUACCUAUAAGACUGGGAUAACUUCGGGAAACCGGAGCUAAUACCGGAUAAUAUUUUGAACCGCAUGGUUCAAAAGUGAAAGACGGUCGUGCGGUCACGUAUAGAUGGAUCCGCGCUGCAUUAGCUAGUUGGUAAGGUAACGGCUUACCAAGGCAACGAUGCAUAGCCGACCUGAGAGGGUGAUCGGCCACACUGGAACUGAGACACGGUCCAGACUCCUACGGGAGGCAGCAGUAGGGAAUCUUCCGCAAUGGGCGAAAGCCUGACGGAGCAACGCCGCGUGAGUGAUGAAGGUCUUCGGAUCGUAAAACUCUGUUAUUAGUGAAGAACAUAUGUGUAAGUAACUGUGCACAUCUUGACGGUACCUAAUCAGAAAGCCACGGCUAACUACGUG
rnacentral:rRNA from 1 species